UACAGAGGGUGCGAGCGUUAAUCGGAAUUACUGGGCGUAAAGCGCACGUAGUCGGCUUUGCAAGUCGGUUGUGAAAUCCCCGGGCUCAACCUGGGAACUGCAUCCGAGACUGCAUUGCUAGAGUGUGGGAGAGGAAAGCGGAAUUUCUGGUGUAGCAGUGAAAUGCGUAGAUAUCAGAAGGAACAUCAGUGGCGAAGGCGGCUUUCUGGACCAAUACUGACGAUCAGGUGCGAAAGCGUGGGGAGCAAACAGG
rnacentral:rRNA from 1 species